AAGCCACGGCUAACUACGUGCCAGCAGCCGCGGUAAUACGUAGGUGGCGAGCGUUGUCCGGAAUUAUUGGGCGUAAAGAGCAUGUAGGCGGUUUUUUAAGUCUGGAGUGAAAAUGCGGGGCUCAACCCCGUAUGGCUCUGGAUACUGGAAGACUUGAGUGCAGGAGAGGAAAGGGGAAUUCCCAGUGUAGCGGUGAAAUGCGUAGAUAUUGGGAGGAACACCAGUGGCGAAGGCGCCUUUCUGGACUGUGUCUGACGCUGAGAUGCGAAAGCCAGGGUAGCGAACGGGAUUAGAUACCCCGGUAGUCCUGGCCGUAAACGAUGGGUACUAGGUGUAGGAGGUAUCGACCCCUUCUGUGCCGGAGUUAACGCAAUAAGUACCCCGCCUGGGGAGUACGGCCGCAAGGCUGAAACUCAAAGGAAUUGACGGGGGCCCGCACAAGCGGUGGAGUAUGUGGUUUAAUUCGACGCAACGCGAAGAACCUUACCAAGCCUUGACAUUGAUUGCUAAGGGUAGAGAUACCCUGUUCCUCUUCGGAGGACAAGAAAACAGGUGGUGCACGGCUGUCGUCAGCUCGUGUCGUGAGAUGUUGGGUUAAGUCCCGCAACGAGCGCAACCCCUAUGCAUAGUUGCCAGCAAGUGAAGUUGGGCACUCUAUGCAGACUGCCCGGGUUAACCGGGAGGAAGGUGGGGACGACGUCAAGUCAUCAUGGCCCUUACACCUAGGGCUACACACGUACUACAAUGGCACGCACAAAGGGCAGCGAUACCGUGAGGUGGAGCCAAUCCCAAAAAACGUGUCCCAGUCCGGAUUGCAGUCUGCAACUCGACUGCAUGAAGUCGGAAUCGCUAGUAAUUCGAGGUCAGCAUACUCGGGUGAAUGCGUUCCCGGGCCUUGUACACACCGCCCGUCACACCACGAAAGUCGGUUUUACCCGAAGCCGGUGAGCCAACUAGCAAUAGAGGCAGCCGUCUACGGUAGGGCCGAUGAUUGGGGUGAAGUCGUAACAAGGUAGCCGUAGGGGAACCUGCGGCUG
rnacentral:rRNA from 1 species